rnacentral:rRNA from 1 species
UACGUAGGACGCAAACGUUGUCCGGAUUUACUGGGUGUAAAGGGUGCUCAGGCGGUCUUGUAAGUCAAUGGUGAAAUCUCCCGACUCAAUCGGGAAACUGCCUUUGAUACUGUAAGGCUUGAGUGCAGAAGAGGCGGAUGGAAUUUCUGGUGUAGCAGUGAAAUGCGUAGAUAUCAGAAAGAACACCAGUGGCGAAGGCGGUCCGCUGGUCUGUCACUGACGCUAAAGCACGAAAGCGUGGGGAGCAAACAGG